rnacentral:rRNA from 1 species
GAACGCUGGCGGCGUGCCUAACACAUGCAAGUCGAGCGAUUCUCUUCGGAGAAGAGCGGCGGACGGGUGAGUAACGCGUGGGUAACCUGCCUCAUACACAUGGAUAACAUACCGAAAGGUAUGCUAAUACAGGAUAACAUAAGAGAUUCGCAUGUUUCUCUUAUCAAAGCUCCGGCGGUAUGAGAUGGACCCGCGUCUGAUUAGCUAGUUGGUAAGGUAAUGGCUUACCAAGGCGACGAUCAGUAGCCGACCUGAGAGGGUGAUCGGCCACAUUGGAACUGAGACACGGUCCAGACUCCUACGGGAGGCAGCAGUGGGGAAUAUUGCACAAUGGGCGAAAGCCUGAUGCAGCAACGCCGCGUGAGUGAUGAAGGCCUUCGGGUCGUAAAACUCUGUCCUCAAGGAAGAUAAUGACGGUACUUGAGGAGGAAGCCCCGGCUAACUACGUGCCAGCAGUCGCGGUAAUACGUAGG